UAUGUAGGGGGCAAGCGUUGUUCGGAAUUACUGGGCGUAAAGGGCGCGUAGGCGGCUAGGCAAGUCAGAUGUGAAAGCCCCGGGCUUAACUCGGGAAUUGCAUCUGAAACUGCUGGGCUUGAGUUCUGGAGGGGGUAGUGGAAUUCCCAGUGUAGCGGUGAAAUGCGUAGAUAUUGGGAGGAACACCUGCGGCGAAGGCGGCUACCUGGACAGAAGCUGACGCUGAGGCGCGAAAGCUAGGGGAGCGAACGGG
rnacentral:rRNA from 1 species